UAGGGAAUCUUCGGCAAUGGGGGCAACCCUGACCGAGCAACGCCGCGUGAGUGAAGAAGAUCUUCGGAUCGUAAAACUCUGUUGUUAGAGAAGAACACGAGUGAGAGUAACUGUUCAUUCGAUGACGGUAUCUAACCAGCAAGUCACGGCUAACUACGUACCAG
rnacentral:rRNA from 1 species